rnacentral:rRNA from 1 species
GACAGAGGAUGCAAGCGUUAUCCGGAAUUAUUGGGCGUAAAGAGCUCGUAGGCGGUUUGUCGCGUCUGCUGUGAAAUCUGGGGGCUCAACCCCCAGCCUGCAGUGGGUACGGGCAGACUAGAGUGCGGUAGGGGAGAUUGGAAUUCCUGGUGUAGCGGUGGAAUGCGCAGAUAUCAGGAGGAACACCGAUGGCGAAGGCAGAUCUCUGGGCCGUAACUGACGCUGAGGAGCGAAAGCAUGGGGAGCGAACAGG